rnacentral:rRNA from 1 species
UACGUAGGUGACCAGCGUUGUCCGGAUUUACUGGGCGUAAAGAGCGCGCAGGCGGUCGUUCAAGUCGAGUGUGAAAGCCCCCGGCUCAACUGGGGAGGGUCACUUGAUACUGAUCGACUCGAAGGCAGGAGAGGGAAGCGGAAUUCCCGGUGUAGUGGUGAAAUGCGUAGAUAUCGGGAGGAACACCAGUGGCGAAGGCGACUUCCUGGCCUGUUCUUGACGCUGAGGCACGAAAGCGUGGGGAGCAAACAGG